rnacentral:lncRNA from 1 species
AAGGGGGGCAGCAUGAAAGAGAGAGAGAGAGAAACAGAGAGAGAGAGAGAAACAGAGAGAGAGAGAGAAAGAGGAAGACAGAAAGGGGGGAAGAGACAGAAAGAGAGAGAAAUGGAGAGAGAGAGAGAAAAUCACAGUGUAACCAGAAGAGAGUUCCGGAGGGGCAAGAACAGAAAAUACUAAUUAAAAGUCAUUUUUUAUAUAUAAUUAUGUUACUAUUAUUUUUUUUUUAUAUAAAACUGUAAUAAAAUAACUAAUAAAACACUAGUGUUAAAAUAUUAUUAAAGACUAAAAUAUAAAUACCAAUACUGAUAAUAAAUCAUGUUUAAACAAAAUACUAAAUCGUACACUUAUAGUUAUUUUGCCAUUUGCUUUAAACGUGUGACAGACAGAUAUUUUGACCUAGUUUAAGCUUCUGAAGGGAGGGUUUUAGACUGAGUUUGGGCUGGAUAUUUUUGGAGGACCUGGCAACCCUGCCCUUCAGUUCAGAGUUGAGGUAAAUCGGAGAGGGUAAAGGACAUCAGCUCAUCACCGCUACACAGCUUUAAGACGGAGAUUAUCAUGAGUUCUAUCUUGGAUCCAUGAGACUCGGAUCCACAGAUAUGCAGAUCUACCACGUCCCGGGGGCUGUGCUCCUCCUGACCUUCUACUUUCAGUCUGUUGAAUCAGCUUUACCUUCAGUGAAGGUGGAGUUUAACGGUACUGCUGUUCUGCCCUGCUCUGAGAGAUGUUCUGGAGUGGUCAGAUGGUCCAUCCUCUCCAGAUGGUCUCAGAAUCCCUCUGAUAUUCUGGCUGAGUGUGAUCAGACAUCCUGCAGAUCACUGAAGGAGGGAUAUCAGAUGAUCCAUGAUCAAUACCUGCAGGGGAAUCUCUCUCUGAUCAUCAGUGAAGCUGAUUUCAGUAAGAGGAGCUGGUAUACCUGUAACUGUGAUGUUGAAAAGAUCUGUUAUGUGAGUCUUCGUCUUGAGCCUCCUGAGUUAUCUCUGCAGAUAAAGGCUGGAGAGUCUCUCACUCUGGACUUUCCUGUAUCAGAACCAGUGCAGGUGAUGUUCAACAGGACUGGAGACGCUAACGCAGUUCCUGUGAAGGUCUUUGAGGGGAGUAAAAUCCAGUGUGACCCGGUGUAUGAGAAAAGAGCAGUGCUGGGUCCACAGCUAAAGGAGCUGAAGAUCUCAGACAGUGGUGUUUACACUCUAGUGGACACCAAGAACGAGGAGGUGGUGUCCAUAUUCAGAAUCACAGUUAUAGAGGAGAAGAGAAGCUGGGUUUGGAGGUUUUGGGAGAAAGAUGAAUGUUUCAUCGUUUUUUUUGUGGGGGUGGGGCUUGGAGUGUUGGUGGGCAUCUUUGUCCCACCACAGAUAAUGCGAUUCAGUAGAUGGCUGUGGAGAAAAGUACGGCGUCUACGUGGUGAUGAUAACAGUGAUAAGAGUUCUGCUGCUGCUGCUGCUGGGGGCAGUGAUCAGUCUCCUGGUCCUGAAGGUGUUCCCCUGAAAGAGCCCAUCUCAGAUUAGUGUAUGGAAACACGGACUGUAAUGGAUCAGAUCCUUCAUGUUGUGUUUCUGUGUGAGAAAAGACAGACGACUGAAGAUCAGCGUCAGCCACGGAUUCGAAACCCUAAUUGGCAUAUUUCUAAUUUUAGUAGUGGUAUGUUUGGGGAAUUUAAUCUUUGUACUUUUCUGCACUUUUAAUACGUUAAGGGACGUGUAGAAGUGAUUUUAAUGGCAUAAUGUAUUAAAUAAUUUAAGUUUAACCUUUUCUUUUUUACCUUUUGCUUAUCUGUCUAAAUUAAAAUUUUGCACAAGUGUUAAAGGGUAGCUUACAGAAGCCUACCUUUAUUCUGUUUACUUAUUAAUUUCUUUAUUGUUUUAUAUAUUUUUAUGUAACUUUACUUGGUUUGGUGUUUUGUGAAUUUAAGCACUUAAAGCUCUUGUUGAUCACUGGUUUUAUUUGAUGGUUGUGCUACAGGUUUACAUAUUUGAAUCUCAUGGCCUUUUGAUGCCUAUGAUUGUUGUACUGAAACAAUAUGAGUUCUCCUAGUGGUGUAAAUGUUAAUGCACUUCCUAAUACUUACUAAGAUUGUGUGAAAAGUCAUCACUCUCUCUUUAAGUCACCUCCAGUAAUACUUUAAAUCCCUUACCAGACCUGGGUGGGAGCUAGAUUUACCUACCACAACCUCAAGGUGGUGCUGGAGUGUAAGUUUUUGUGGGCUUAGUGGUUGAGGCUACAUAUGGGUGGUCUACCACAUCUUGACAUCCUUACACUCACCUCUUUUCAUCUCAGGUUUUGGCUUUAUGUUAAAUAUGACAACUUGUAUAGAUUCAAAGCAUCCCUCUGAAUAACAAGCACAAAAACAUCAAAAUGUGACAAAUGCACAGUGUUUCCAUUUUAUUAAAAAUGCCAUACAUUAAGAUUGACUAUUGUUAAAUUAAUAAUGAGUUUUUGUUGGCUUAGACAUGUAAAUGUGAAAUUUACCUGAAUACACUCUGGAAACAUAGUUUAUAUAUAAUGAAUAAAAUGGGCUCUGUUUUGUCA